GGAGAGGGAUGAUGACAAAGAGAGUUUUGUCAUCGAUGGGCAAGCUCUGGGAGCCUGACCUGGCCUUCCUGGGGGAAGGCCUUUAGAUCGGAAAGGAUUACCAUGGCCGCAGCCAGUCACAGCUUUCCCUUGCUCAUUUGGGAUCCGGGGAAAACGACUUCAUCUAUUCUCUAAUAAGUUAACAGGGGCGCCUGGGUGGCUCAGUCGGUUAAGCAUCCAACUCUCGAUUUCAGCUCAGGUCACGAUCUCACAGUUUGUGGGAUCGAACCCCGCAUCACGCUCUUUGCUGAUAGCUCAGAGCCCAGGUGGGAUCUGUUCUCUCCCCCCCCCUCUGCCUUUCUUGCUCCUGUACUUUCACUGUCUCUCUCUCUCUCUCUAAGUAAAUAAACAGUAAAAAAGAAAAAAAGAAAAUAAUGGAGUAACAAGCAUGCCCACUUUUUCAAGCUAAAGAACAAGAUAAAGGAGUUAUGCAAAGCACUUUAUAGUUUCAUUUCCUCCUGUUAGAGUAAUAAGGAUAAAUGAUUUCUGGAGCGACACUUCCAAGGCUGUGGGUACCGUGAUGGCGAACAUUGGAGGAGUCAUAAGUUCCUGUCUUUCCCAGGGGAAAGCAGACGUGUCAUGUGCCAAAAAUCCCCGAAGCCCGAGAUGCAGGAUUUUCCAAGUGGCUCCUGGAGCCAGUAGAGACUCUUAUUCCCAUUUUACAGAUAAGGAAAUUGGGGCCCAGUGAGGGUCAUUGGUUUGCCCAAGGUCACACGUGUAAUAAUGCAGUCUGCCUCCAGAAUCUGUGCUAUUCUGCCUCCGAACAAGAUGACUGAUGAGCGAUUCCAUUUCAGGCUCUCUUGGCUGGGCUGCGGGGAGGACUGUCGUGGUUCACAUGCGAAGAGCGAUGCCCAGAUGAAUCUCACACUUCUCUGCAUCAGGGAGGUGGCCCAUUCAUGUAGCCAGAAGCUCCCCAUGGUCUCCUUGGAACUGGACCACGGUAGCCCCAGAGCCAGGCAGGAGAGGUUGGGGGCUGUCUGACAGACCGAAGCACCUGAUUCCCGUUCUGAGAACCUGGCCUGUGACCGGAAGAGGUCCCAACUGAGGUCCUGGCCUUGGCCCCCAUUUCUCCUCCGAGUCAAGACCGCCACGUGGGCUCUGCCCCCACCAUCCAGCGGCUUCUCUGUGGGGAUCUGUUUGCUGGAUCUGCUCCCUCCCCCACGCCCUUUGAGGCACCGCAUCGAAGGCUGCCAGUCACGUCGUCGUCGUCUCUCAUUAAUGCUUCGGAGGACGAACGAGACAAUAUAAUCGCUCCCUGCACACCUGUCAGGUAGGUGCUGCGUUAGGCAGAAUGUUUGAGGUUGUUUUCAGUUCUGAUCAAAGUGAUUGAAACAGAUGUACCUCGCGAGUCUUAUUAAAUGGCAGGGAAAACUGCUCAUCAGACAUCUGACUGGUCCCGCGAAUUCUUUGUAUGCAGACGAUGUUGCUUUUUCCCCCUUAGAUAAACAAGUGUUUAGUUUUCUGAUCGAUACUUAAGAUUGGGCAAGCUGGAGGAGAAUCCAUUUAAUCCCAGACAUAGUGGCAAUGGCCUGUUGUGAUGCUCUCCUGAUACAGAGUUUAGAAGUAAUUGCUCCCUUUGACAAAGGGAAACAUUAUCUGCUUCGCAUUCAUUCACUCGUUUAUUUAUGUAUUCAAUAAAUAUUGACUGGGUACCUAUCA
rnacentral:lncRNA from 1 species